AGAUCAAGCUACAAAGGGCGCACGGUGAAUGCCCUGGCACUAGGAGCCGAUGAAGGACGUGAUAAGCUGCGAUAAGCUACAUGUAGGCGCACACAGCCUGUGAUAUGUAGAUUUCCGAAUGGGGAAACCCAUCUAGUUAUGCUAGAUACUGUAUACCGAAUACAUAGGUAUAUGGAGGUACACCUGGGGAACUGAAACAUCUAAGUACCCAGAGGAAGAGAAAGAAAAUUCGAUUCCCUAAGUAGCGGCGAGCGAAAGGGGAAGAGCCCAAACCAGGAACUUGUUCCUGGGGUUGCGGAUAGAUCAUAACGCUUUGAUUUCUUUAGUUGAAGAGAACUGGAAAGUUCCGUCGUAGAAGGUAAUAACCCUGUAGGCGAAAAGGAAAGAAAAGUAGAUCUACUCCAGAGUACCACGAGACACGUGAAACCUUGUGGGAAGCGGGGAGGACCAUCUCCCAAGGCUAAAUACUACCUAGUGACCGAUAGUGAAGCAGUACCGUGAGGGAAAGGUGAAAAGAACCCCGGAAGGGGAGUGAAAUAGAAUCUGAAACCG
rnacentral:rRNA from 1 species